UGGUGGGUAGUUUGACUGGGGCGGUCUCCUCCUAAAGAGUAACGGAGGAGCACGAAGGUUGGCUAAUCCUGGUCGGACAUCAGGAGGUUAGUGCAAUGGCAUAAGCCAGCUUGACUGCGAGCGUGACGGCGCGAGCAGGUGCGAAAGCAGGUCAUAGUGAUCCGGUGGUUCUGAAUGGAAGGGCCAUCGCUCAACGGAUAAAAGGUACUCCGGGGAUAACAGGCUGAUACCGCCCAAGAGUUCAUAUCGACGGCGGUGUUUGGCACCUCGAUGUCGGCUCAUCACAUCCUGGGGCUGAAGUAGGUCCCAAGGGUAUGGCUGUUCGCCAUUUAAAGUGGUACGCGAGCUGGGUUUAGAACGUCGUGAGACAGUUCGGUCCCUAUCUGCCGUGGGCGCUGGAGAACUGAGGGGGGCUGCUCCUAGUACGAGAGGACCGGAGUGGACGCAUCACUGGUGUUCGGGUUGUCAUGCCAAUGGCACUGCCCGGUAGCUAAAUGCGGAAGAGAUAAGUGCUGAAAGCAUCUAAGCACGAAACUUGCCCCGAGAUGAGUUCUCCCUGAGACUUAGAGUCUCCUGAAGGAACGUUGAAGACGACGACGUUGAUAGGCCGGGUGUGUAAGCGCAGCGAUGCGUUGAGCUAAGCGGUACUAAUGAACCGUGAGGCUUAACCUUACAACGCCGAAG
rnacentral:rRNA from 1 species